rnacentral:rRNA from 1 species
GACGAACGCUGGCGGCGUGCCUAAUACAUGCAAGUUGAGCGCUGAAGGUUGGUACUUGUACCAACUGGAUGAGCAGCGAACGGGUGAGUAACGCGUGGGGAAUCUACCUUUGAGCGGGGGACAACAUUUGGAAACGAAUGCUAAUACCGCAUAAAAACUUUAAACACAAGUUUUAAGUUUGAAAGAUGCAGUUGCAUCACUCAAAGAUGAUCCCGCGUUGUAUUAGCUAGUUGGUGAGGUAAAGGCUCACCAAGGCGAUGAUACAUAGCCGACCUGAGAGGGUGAUCGGCCACAUUGGGACUGAGACACGGCCCAAACUCCUACGGGAGGCAGCAGUAGGGAAUCUUCGGCAAUGGACGAAAGUCUGACCGAGCAACGCCGCGUGAGUGAAGAAGGUUUUCGGAUCGUAAAACUCUGUUGGUAGAGAAGAACGUUGGUGAGAGUGGAAAGCUCAUCAAGUGACGUAACUACCC